rnacentral:lncRNA from 1 species
AUAAUAAGUGUUAUCCUAACGUAGUCUAAAAUCGUUCAUCUUGUCAGUUCGUUAGGUAUUUGUGUUUGAACUUAACACACGGGGAAACUCCGCAUUGACGUCACUACGCUACUUCCGGCGUAGAAAAACAAUGUAGAAUACGUUUUUUCUGCACUUUUGAAUAAAAAACCAUUUCUGAAGGUAAGUUUUCAUUGUUGUUCUCAAUUAUUGCUAAAAAAUGCCAAAUUUCUAAUGCCCGUUUCAAUCCCGACUUCCGAAUGUCUAAAAACAUUCUAGAACUUCAUAAAAUCCCACUUCCGGCCUCCAUUGCUUUGUGUACAUUCCAUUCAGCGUCAUCAAUCUUGUGGUAGGCAAUACAGGUCAAGCAAAUCGUAUUUUUAAGAAUUUUAAAAUGACAUGCUCCUUACGUCUUUCGCGAUUUUCCCCGCGAAAAAA